rnacentral:ncRNA from 12 species
CGCCAUUGGUUGUGAGUAUCCGCAAGGACUCAGGGGCUUGUUAUAGGGCCCUAAGACAGCCAAUGGCGUU